rnacentral:rRNA from 1 species
AUUCCAAUCGAACUCGGAGAUAGCUGGUUCUCCCCGAAAUAGCUUUAGGGCUAGCCUCAUAUUAGAUACCCGGAGGUAAAGCACUGAAUGGCCUAGCGCCCGAGAGGGUAGCGAAGCCUAUCAAACUAAGAAUGCCGGAGUAUUGAUGUAUGGGAGUCAGACAGUGUGAGAUAAAUCUCAUUGUCAAAAGGGAAACAGCCCAGAUCUACAGCUAAGGUCCCAAAUUGUAUCUAAGUGGAAAACGAUGUGGAAAUACGCAGACAACCAGGAUGUUGGCUCAGAAGCAGCCACUCAUUUAAAGAGUGCGUAAUAGCUCACUGGUCGAGCGUCUCUGCGCGGAAAAUUUAACGGGGCUAAGAUACAAACCGAAGCUUAGGCUGCAUCGUAAGAUGCGGGGUAGGGGAGCGUUGUGUAAGCGGAGAAACAGUAGCGAAAGCGGCUGUGGAGUUUACAGAAGUGAGAAUGCCGGAAUGAGUAGCGCGAAUGUGGUGAGAAUCCACAUGGCCGGAAACCUCAGGUUUUUGGAGGAAGGUUCGUCCGCUCCAAGUUAGGCGGGAGCUAAGGUCAGGCCGCAAGGCGUAGCCGAUGCACAGACGGUAGAGAUUCCGUCCCCACCGAAAGAUUUAAGCACAGGGACACUUUUAGAAGGUCGGAGCCAGGUGUUGGUUCUGGUAGUGAUCGAGGGAAAUAUAGUACCGAAGUCUGGCUGGAUGAGAGGCGAGAAAAGCUGUGUGUAUAUCUAAGGUGCCCGUACCGCAAACCGACACAGGUAGGUAGGAAGAAGAUUCUAAGGCCAACGGGAGAAGGGUUGUUAAGGAACUCGGCAAGUUGACCCCGUAACUUCGGGAGAAGGGGUGCUCAUGAAAGUGAGCCGCAGAGAAUAGGCCCAAGCAACUGUUUAGCAAAAACACAGGUCUGUGCUAAAUCGAAAGAUGACGUAUACGGGCUGACACCUGCCCGGUGCUGGAAGGUUAAGGGGAUGUGUGCAAGCACUGAACCGAAGCCCCAGUAAACGGCGGCCGUAACUAUAACGGUCCUAAGGUAGCGAAAUUCCUUGUCAGGUAAGUUCUGACCCGCACGAAUGGUGUAAUGAUUUGGGCACUGUCUCAACAGCCCGCCCGGCGAAAUUGUAGUACCGGUGAAGAUGCCGGUUUCCCGCGACAAGACGGAAAGACCCCAUGGAGCUUUACUGCAGCCUAAUAUUGGGUUUCGAUAUUACAUGUACAGGAUAUGUGGGAGACAUGGAAGCACGGGCGUCAGCCUGUGUGGAGUCAGCCUUGGGAUACCACACUUGUGAUAUUGGAAUUCUAACCUGCGGCCCUGAAUCGGGUCGGGGGACAUUGUUAGGCGGGCAGUUUGACUGGGGCGGUCGCCUCCGAAAAAGUAACGGAGGCGUUCAAAGGUUGGCUCAGCUUGGACGGAAACCAAGCCAAAGAGUGCAAACGCAUAAGCCAGCCUAACUGCGAGACUGACGGGUCGAGCAGUAACGAAAGUUGGAGUUAGUGAUCCGGCGGUAUGUGAGUGGAAAUGCCGUCGCUCAACGGAUAAAAGUUACCCUGGGGAUAACAGGCUGAUCUCCCCCAAGAGUCCACAUCGACGGGGAGGUU